rnacentral:rRNA from 1 species
AGCAGCCGCGGUAAUUCCAGCUCCAAUAGCGUAUAUUAAAGUUGUUGCAGUUAAAAAGCUCGUAGUUGAAUUUCGGGAUUGACGUGAUGGUCAUGCCUUAAGGGGUAUGAACUGUUACAGUUGAUUUCUCACCUUCUGGAGAAACUUGAUGUCCUUUAUUGGGUGUCUUGCGGAUCCAGGACCUUUACCUUGAAAAAUUAGAGUGUUUAAAGCAGGCAUUUUUGCUCGAAUACAUUAGCAUGGAAUAAUAGAAUAGGACGGCAUGGUUCUAUUUUGUUGGUUUCUAGGAUCACCGUAAUGAUUAAUAGGGAUAGUUGGGGGCAUUAGUAUUCAAUUGUCAGAGGUGAAAUUCUUGGAUUUAUUGAAGACUAACUACUGCGAAAGCAUUUGCCAAGGAUGUUUUACAUUAAUCAAGAACGAAAGUUAGGGGAUCGAAGACGAUCAGAUA